AUUUUAUACACCUCCCACUGGCAGCGCUCGCUGGUCGACCGGCUUCUGAGGAAUCUUGUCGUGCAUUUCGAUUUUCACAGCUUAAGAACAAUGAAUCGCAAACCUGUCUGAUGACUUUAUGCACUACUGAUAUCCUUAUAGGAGAAGCAAUGCAUUUCAGAAGUGCUGCAGGAAAGCUUUGUGGGCACUGGUAUCUCUCACCACUGGUGUCUCUUCUUAAAGCUGUGAGAUGACAGGACUGCUGCAACUUCUAGGAUCUUUCAACUUGAAGCAAAUUUCAGUUUCCGAGCCAAGCAUCAAUAACGUGAACAGCAGAGGACAGCGCUUGAUCAAACGGAGCAUUGAGGGGUGGAACAGCCAGGGCAGAACACCAGAGACACUUCCUAGCACACAACACUUACCACAACCUUCAUUGGGGAUUUUGAUUAGCGGUUCAGAUUUUUCAUCUAUUCACCAUCUCCAGGUGUUCCCAGAGGAUUUCACCGACGAAGUCUGGCGCCAGGUCCAGGAAGCGCUCCUUGCCCAGUGC